AGGGUUUGAUUAUGGCUCAGGAUGAACGCUAGCUACAGGCUUAACACAUGCAAGUCGAGGGGCAGCAUGAUUGAAGCUUGCUUCAAUUGAUGGCGACCGGCGCACGGGUGAGUAACGCGUAUCCAACCUUCCGUACACUCAGGGAUAGCCUUUCGAAAGAAAGAUUAAUACCUGAUGGUAUGAUGAGCUUGCAUGAUAGCAUCAUUAAAGAUUUAUCGGUGUACGAUGGGGAUGCGUUCCAUUAGGUAGUAGGCGGGGUAACGGCCCACCUAGCCGACGAUGGAUAGGGGUUCUGAGAGGAAGGUCCCCCACAUUGGAACUGAGACACGGUCCAA
rnacentral:rRNA from 1 species